rnacentral:rRNA from 1 species
UAUAAACUAGGAUUAGAUACCCUAUUAUACUAUUUGUAGAAACAGCUUGCUUGAGUAGUAAUCAGUUAUGAUCUUGAAACUUAAAGGAUUUGGCGGUACUCAAGUCUAGUUAGAGGAACCUGCUCUGUAAACGAUAUGCCACGAAUUAUCUUACUUUUUCUAGUUUUCAGUUUGUAUACCUCCAUUAUAAGAUAGUGUUUAUAAACAAAUAUUAAGAUAAUACUCUAUUAGUAUAUUAGGUCACGGUGCAGCCUAUGUAAAAGUUGUAGUGGGUUACAAUACAACUUAUGUGUUCGGAUAGAGGGUUUAAAAUUCUCUUUAAGUUGGAUUUAAUUGUAUGCUUAUUUUAAUAAGUUAAGUUGGUAUUAGCUCUAGAGUAUGUACACAUCGCCCGCUCUUAAA